rnacentral:rRNA from 1 species
UCUAGGAUUAGAUACCCUACUAUGCUCAGCCAUAAACAAAGACACAAUCCGCCAGAAAACUACGAGCGAAAGCUUAAAACUCAAAGGACCUGACGGUGUCCCACACCAACCUAGAGGAGCCUGUCCCAUAAUCGAUAAUCCGCGAUAAACCUCACCGCCCCUGGCCCGCCCAGUCUAUAUACCGCCGUCGCCAGCCUAUCUCACAAGAGUUAAUGGCCAAACAGCAGCACAGCACUGCUAAUACGACAGGUCAAGGCGUAACUCAUGGGGCGGAGAAGAUUGGCUACAAUGCCUACCUACAAGGCUAAACGAAACAUACCAUGAAACUGGGAUAAGAAGAUGAAUUUAGCAGUAAGAAAGGAAAGAAGACCUUUCUGAAAUCAGUCCUGGGACGAGUACACACCGCCCGUCACCCUCAUCA